rnacentral:hammerhead_ribozyme from 1 species
GCACUACUGAUGAGACCAAAACAGGUCGAAACAAUUGUCCAGUGC